rnacentral:lncRNA from 1 species
CUUCGCAGCAUGCAGGACUCUCCAGCAUUAUUUCCCGGAUUGACUUCUGGGUUUUGACUCCUGCUUGUCUCUGACCACGUCUUCUUGUCUCAGCCCUUGGAUCCCCUGUCAAGUUUCUUUGCUCUUGUGAGAACUUCAGGUUUCGCUGUGUUGCUGGCUUCCCAACCUACUGCCUGUCCACGACCAUCCUUCCAUCUGAUCCCUCUGAAAUUAAUCUGCCCCGCUGAUUGUCUGCCAGGAUUCGACAUUGCCUCCACUUCGGCCACGAGCCCAGCCUGCCCCUCGACAGUGCCGCUGCACUUCUCAUAGACUCUCAGGUGUAGUGCAUUUUCCGUGAGCACUCACCUGUUGGACCUGUUUCCUGUGGAUCUGUUUCUUGUUGGUCUUGGAGAUCCUACAGAGACUGCUAAAUCAAUCCCUGUAUAUUCUUUCCUGUUACCUUCUGAAAUACCUGUCUUCUGUGAACUGUUGCAAUAAAAGUAGCUUCUAAACAACUA